AGCAGUGGGGAAUUUUGGACAAUGGGCGCAAGCCUGAUCCAGCAAUGCCGCGUGAGUGAAGAAGGCCUUCGGGUUGUAAAGCUCUUUUGUCAGGGAAGAAACGGUGAGAGCUAAUAUCUCUUGCUAAUGACGGUACCUGAAGAAUAAGCACCGGCUAACUACGUGCCAGCAGCCGCGGUAAUACGUAGGGUGCAAGCGUUAAUCGGAAUUACUGGGCGUAAAGCGUGCGCAGGCGGUUUUGUAAGUUUGUCGUGAAAGCCCCGGGCUCAACCUGGGAAUUGCGAUGAAGACUGCAAGGCUUGAAUCUGGCAGAGGGGGGUAGAAUUCCACGUGUAGCAGUGAAAUGCGUAGAGAUGUGGAGGAACACCGAUGGCGAAAGCAGCCCCCUGGGUCAAGAUUGACGCUCAUG
rnacentral:rRNA from 1 species